UAGGGAAUCUUCCACAAUGGGCGCAAGUCUGAUGGAGCAACGCCGCGUGAGUGAAGAAGGGUUUCGGCUCGUAAAGCUCUGUUGUUAAAGAAGAACGUGGGUAAGAGUAACUGUUUACCCAGUGACGGUAUUUAACCAGAAAGCCACGGCUAACUACGUACCAG
rnacentral:rRNA from 1 species